GACGGAGGGUGCAAGCGUUGUUCGGAAUUACUGGGCGUAAAGGGCGCGUGGGCGGUCUGUUAAGUUCGGUGUGAAAGCCCCCGGCUCACCUGGGGAACUGCGCCGGAAACCGACAGACUCGAGUACCGGAGAGGAGGGUGGAAUUCCUGGUGUAGCGGUGAAAUGCGUAGAUAUCAGGAGGAACACCGGUGGCGAAGGCGGCCCUCUGGACGGAUACUGACGCUGAGGCGCGAAAGCGUGGGGAUCAAACAGG
rnacentral:rRNA from 1 species